rnacentral:rRNA from 1 species
CCAGCAGCUGCGGUAAUUCCAGCUCCAAUAGCGUAUAUUUAAGUUGUUGCAGUUAAAAAGCUCGUAGUCAGACCUUGGGUUGGGUCGAUCGGUCCGCCUCCGGUGUGCACCGGUCGGCUCGUCCCUUCUACCGGCGAUGCGCUCCUGGCCUUAUCUGGCCGGGUCGUGCCUUCGGUGCUGUUACUUAGAAGAAAUUAGAGUGCUCAAAGCAAGCCUACGCUCUGUAUACAUUAGCAUGGGAUAACAUCAUAGGAUUUCGGUCCUAUUCUGUUGGCCUUCGGGAUCGGAGUAAUGAUUAACAGGGACAGUCGGGGGCAUUCGUAUUUCAUAGUCAG